AUAGGUUAAGUUAAUAAGGGCGCAUGGUGGAUGCCUUGGCACUAGAAGGCGAUGAAGGACGUGACUAACUACGAUAUGCCUCGGUUAGCUGUAAGUAAGCUUACCCGGGGGUUUCCGAAUGGGGCAACCCGAUCUUAAUGAUCAUCAUCUUUUUGAAUUCAUAGAUUAGAUGAAGCAAACGCUGUGAACUGAAACAUCUCAGUAGCAGUAGGAAAGUAAAGAAAUUUCGAUUCCGUCAGUAGCGGCGAGCGAACGCGGAAGAGCCCAAACCUGGAUGCUUGCAUCCAGGGGUUGUAGGACUGAUGUUGAGUUACAAAGGUAUAAGAUAGCAGAAACAGUUGGGAAG
rnacentral:rRNA from 1 species